rnacentral:rRNA from 1 species
GCCCUUGAAAAAAUCAAAGGUGUAACCUGCCCAAUGAUCUUAAACUUAAAAAAUAUAACCAUUUUUAAAAAGAUUUAAAGGACGCAGUAUCCUGACUGUGAUAAUGUAGCAUAAUCAUUCGCCAUUUAAUUGAUGGAUAGUAUGAAUGGUUGAACGAAUUCUUCACUGUCUUAAAAAAAGAAAUAAUGAAAUUUAAAUAAUAGUAAAGAUGCUAUUUAAAAUUGUAAGACGAAAAGACCCUAUAGAGCUUAACUAUAAGUUCUUUUACUUAAAAGAAUAUAAUUCUCAAAAUAAAGAACUUGGUAGUUUAGUUGGGGCGACUAUCUUCUAAUAUUAACGAAGACAAGCAAAAUUAAUAUAUAAUUUAUUGUAUAACCUAUAAGUUUAACAAUUACAAAAGUAGGCAUAAUGACCCGUUUUCAUUUAGUAAUUAAAGAAAACGAUCAAUAAAUAAAAGCUACCUUAGGGAUAACAGGAUAAUUUUGUUUUAGAGAUCCUAUCGAAAACAAAGUUUGUCACCUCUAUGUUGAAUUAAGAUAUCCUAGUAAUGCAGAAGUUACUAAAGGUAGGUCUGUUCGACCUUUAAAAUCUU